UUUAUUGGGCGUAAAGCGAGCGCAGGCGGUUAGAUAAGUCUGAAGUUAAAGGCAGUGGNUCAACCAUUGUAGGCUUUGGAAACUGUUUAACUNGAGUGCAGAAGGGGAGAGUGGAAUUCCAUGCGUAGCGGUGAAAUGCGUAGAUAUAUGGAGGAACACCGGUGGCGAAAGCGGCUCUCUGGUCUGUAACUGACGCUGAGGCUCGAAAGCGUGGGGAGCGAACAGGAUUAGAUACCCUGGUAGUCCACGCCGUAAACGAUGAGUGCUAGGUGUUAGGUCCUUUCCGGGACUUAGUGCCGCAGCUAACGCAUUAAGCACUCCGCCUGGGGAGUACGACCGCAAGGUUGAAACUCAAAGGAAUUGACGGGGGCCCGCACAAGCGGUGGAGCAUGUGGUUUAAUUCGAAGCAACGCGAAGAACCUUACCAGGUCUUGACAUCCCGAUGCCCGCUCUAGAGAUAGAGCUUUACUUCGGUACAUCGGUGACAGGUGGUGCAUGGUUGUCGUCAGCUCGUGUCGUGAGAUGUUGGGUUAAGUCCCGCAACGAGCGCAACCCUUAUUGUUAGUUGCCAUCAUUCAGUUGGGCACUCUAGCGAGACUGCCGGUAAUAAACCGGAGGAAGGUGGGGAUGACGUCAAAUCAUCAUGCCCCUUAUGACCUGGGCUACACACGUGCUACAAUGGCUGGUACAACGAGUCGCAAGCCGGUGACGGCAAGCUAAUCUCUGAAAGCCAGUCUCAGUUCGGAUUGUAGGCUGCAACUCGCCUACAUGAAGUCGGAAUCGCUAGUAAUCGCGGAUCAGCACGCCGCGGUGAAUACGUUCCCGGGCCUUGUACACNCCGCCCGUCACACCACGAGAGUUUGUAACACCC
rnacentral:rRNA from 1 species